AUUGCUUCUUGGCCUUUUGGCUAAGAUCAAGUGUAGUAUCUGUUCUUAUCAGUUUAAUAUCUGAUACAUCCUCUAUCCGGGACAAUACAUCAAAUGGAUUUUGGAGCAGGAACAUAGAAUAGAGGCUUGCUUUGUCCCCUCCACACAUCGACCUAGUGUUGCAGUAUCUCUGGGAACAGUGUACCCCCU